UGGACAGCAGCCUCUCGGCCUGCCAGUGUUUGUUUGGUGUUACCUCUUCACAGACAUUUUUGUAAUUUUCUUUUUUGUAUAUAUUUAUUUUCUUCAGCAGAAACUGAACACACAAUGAUCUUCUUGAGCUGACCAUCCAAGGAGUCAAGACUUAGUUGGCCCUGGCCCAAGAUCACUGGGGCCUGUUCCUGAGGGAGCCGUAUAUCCUCCGCCUCUGGCUCGUCAGAGUCGUGAAACAAGAGAAAGGAUUCUGCUAGUCCAUGAUGUAUCGAACUAACCACGCUGCAUUUUGGUCCGACUCUCCUUCGGCGGAAGAAAACCAUAACACUAACAGAAGAAACGCAUCUUCUACAAGAACCAGUUCUGAGCCGAAGAUCUACUGCCCGCUUACCCGGGAAAGCACCAAACAGCAGACUGUAACGUUGGACCAUCGAAGAGGCGCAAAUAUGAUGAACUACAUUGUUUUGGGGUUAAUUUAUAUUGGGAGUAUUGCCUUUCCUCAGCCACAGUGUAUUAAAUGUG